AUUGAACGCUGGCGGCCGGCCUAACACAUGCAAGUCGAACUCGUGUCGGACGUGUGAGUAAUGUCUGGGACACUUCCUUAUUGAGGGGGCUAACUCCUGGAAACUGUAGCUAAUACCGCAUCCCAUCCGCUGUGCCCAGAUGGGAUUCGCUUGUUGGUGGGGUAACGGCUCACCAAGUCGACGAACCCUAGCUGGUCUUAGAGGAUGACUAGACACCGUUGAACGGAGACACGGUCCAGACUCCUACGGGAGGCAGCAGUGGGGAAUAUUGAACAAUGGGCGAAAGCCUGAUAUAGCCAUGCCGCGUGUAUGAAGAAGGCCUUCGGGUUGUAAAGUAAUUUCAGUAGGGAAGCGUUACCCGCAGAAGAAGCACCGGCUAACGCCGUGCCAGCCGCCGCGGUAAUAC
rnacentral:rRNA from 1 species